rnacentral:rRNA from 1 species
AGGGUUGAAACUCAAAGAAUUGACGGGGACCCGCACAACCGUUGGAUGAUGUGGUUUAAUUCGAUGCAACGCGAAAACCUUACCUACCCUUGACAUGUCUGGAAUCCUGCAGAGAUGUGGGAGUGCUCGAAAGAGAGCCAGAACACCAGGUGCUGCAUGGCCGUCGUCAGCUCGUGUCGUGAGAUGUUGGGUUAAGUCCCGCAACGAGCGCAACCCUUGUCAUUAGUUGCUACGAAAGGGCACUCUAAUGAGACUGCCGGUGACAAACCGGAGGAAGGUGGGGAUGACGUCAGGUCCUCAUGGCCCUUAUGGGUAGGGCUACACACGUCAUACAAUGGCCGGUACAGAGGGUUGCCAACCCGCGAGGGGGAGCCAAUCCCAGAAAGCCGGUCGUAGUCCGGAUCGCAGUCUGCAACUCGACUGCGUGAAGUCGGAAUCGCUAGUAAUCGCGGAUCAGCUUGCCGCGGUGAAUACGUUCCCGGGUCUUGUACACACCGCCCGUCACACCAUGGGAGCGGGUUCUGCCAGAAGUAGUUAGCCUAACCGCAAGGGGGGCGAUUACCACGGCAGGGUUCGUGACUGGGGUGAAGUCGUAACAAGGU